CCCUUAGAUGUCCUGGGCCGCACGCGCGUUACACUGGUGCAUUCAACGAGCUUAUAACCUUGGCCGAGAGGCCUGGGCAAUCUUGUUAACGUGCAUCGUGAUAGGGAUAGAUUAUUGAAAUUAUUAAUCUUGAACGAGGAAUUCCUAGUAAACGUAGAUCAUCAAUCUGCAUUGAUUACGUCCCUGCCCUUUGUACACACCGCCCGUCGCACCUACCGAUUGGAUGGUCCGGUGAAGCCUCGGGAUUGUGGUUCUUGCCGCUUUAUUGUGGCGUGACCGCGAGAACUUGUCUAAACCUUAUCAUCUAGAGGAAGGUGAAGUCGUAACA
rnacentral:rRNA from 1 species